UUUCUUCCACGCUUCCCUUAUUAUUUCGACUACGAAUUUUCAUUUCUCGUUCAAACCCUAACACCGUUCGUCUCUGAAUCUCUGAUUCACAAUUUCACAAACCAAAAUCGAAUAACAAACCAUAUAUGGAUUCCCUCUCAUCGGUUUCUCCCUCCAUCAUCCUCCCUCCGACCGCCAACCCUCUCCGUCCACGGCGCCGCCGGAUGAGCCUCUCUCCGGUCAGCCUCCACAACCGCAACCUCU
rnacentral:lncRNA from 1 species